GGGCACCAUGCUGACCUGCAGAGCCGCUAUGAGGACAAUGAUUCAGCAGGGCGGGUCUAUUGUUAAUGUCGGGGGAGGUUUGGAGAAGCUCUUGAGGUGGCACAUGCCGUUGUGUUUCUUUUAGAGUCACCAUACAUCACAGGACAUGUUCUUAUCGUGGAUGGAGGAUUACAGCUCACUGCCUAAUUAGAGAUGAUAUUACUGUAAUGGUGAUCUGGAUCAAGCACACAUUUUCCUAUUAAUUAGACAAUCAUAUCUAUAUGGGUGACAUUUGCUAAUGGAAACAAAUUAGCUAAUGGAUACUACAAAUGAUUCCUUCCAUCUUUGUAUGAACAUGUCUCAAAACAAAGUGUGACUAGUUGUAAUCUAAAAGGUGUGAAGUCUCUGUCUUUACAGGCAGCAGCAGUUUUAGUGCAUGGACAUUCUGUAAGGGCUACACAUCAGUAUUAAUUUCUACAUUUUUGCCUUGGAAGUAGAAAAUUCUGUUGUCUAAUUGUGAUAUACCUGUAUCAAGCCGGAUGUUAAAGACUUCAGCCUUCUA
rnacentral:lncRNA from 1 species